rnacentral:rRNA from 1 species
CCUACGGGAGGCAGCAGUGAGGAAUAUUGGUCAAUGGACGAGAGUCUGAACCAGCCAAGUCGCGUGAAGGAUGACUGCCCUAUGGGUUGUAAACUUCUUUUAUAAAGGAAUAAAACGAGCCACGUGUGCCUUUUUGCAUGUACUUUAUGAAUAAGGAUCGGCUAACUGCGUGCCAGCAACCGCGGUAAUACGGAGGGUCCGAGCGUUAUCCGGAUUUAUUUGGUUUAAAGGGAGCGUAGAGGGGUUGUUAAGUCAGUUGUGAAAGUGUGCGGCUCAAACCUCACAUUGCAAUUGAUACUGGCAGUCUUGAGUGCAGUUGAGGUAGGCGGAAUUCGUGGUGUAGCGGUGAAAUGCUUAGAUAUCACGAAGAACCCCGAUUGCGAAGGCAGCUUACUA